rnacentral:rRNA from 1 species
GAAAGGCGUAGUCGAUGGGAAACGGGUUAAUAUUCCCGUACUUGGUGUUACUGCGAAGGGGGGACGGAGAAGGCUAUGUUGGCCGGGCGACGGUUGUCCCGGUUUAAGCGUGUAGGUGUGUGUUCCAGGUAAAUCCGGUUCACUUUAACACUGAGGCGUGACGACGAGGCACUACGGUGCUGAAGCAACAAAUGCCCUGCUUCCAGGAAAAGCCUCUAAGCAUCAGGUAACACGAAAUCGUACCCCAAACCGACACAGGUGGUCAGGUAGAGAAUACCAAGGCGCUUGAGAGAACUCGGGUGAAGGAACUAGGCAAAAUGGUGCCGUAACUUCGGGAGAAGGCACGCUGACACGUAGGUGAAGUGAUUUACUCAUGGAGCUGAAGUCAGUCGAAGAUACCAGCUGGCUGCAACUGUUUAUUAAAAACACAGCACUGUGCAAACACGAAAGUGGACGUAUACGGUGUGACGCCUGCCCGGUGCCGGAA